rnacentral:rRNA from 1 species
AUUGAACGCUGGCGGCAGGCCUAACACAUGCAAGUCGAACGAGUGGCGGAAGGGUGAGUAAUGGCUGGGAAACUGCCUGAUGGAGGGGGAUAACUACUGAAAACAGUAGCUAAUACCGCAUACCGUACGGUACGCCCAGAUGGGAUUAGCUUGUUGGUGUGGUAACGGCUCACCAGGGCGACGAUCCCUAGCUGGUCUGUGAGGAUGACAAGCCACAUGGGAACUGUGACACGGUCAAGACGCCUACGGGAGGCAGCAGUGGGGACUAUUGCACAAUGGGCGCAAGCCUGAAGCAGCCAUGCCGCGUGUAUGAAGAAGGCCUUCGGGUUUUAAAGUCCUUUCAGCGGGGAGGCGUUACCCGCAGAAGAAGCACCGGCUAACUCCGUGCCAGCCGCCGCGGUAAUAC